AUUUGGUUGGCUGGUGAUGAUUCAGGUCCGAAAGGAUCUUAGCGGAUUUCGGUGAGGCGGAUUCGUCCGCCGCUGAUCGAUUAUGUUGUUACACACACUGAAGCC
rnacentral:snoRNA from 1 species